rnacentral:ncRNA from 1 species
AAAGGUUUGGUCCUGGCCUUUUUAUUAAUUGUUAGCAAAAUUAUACAUGCAAGAAUCCUCACCCCUGUGAAAAUGCCCUACAAAUCAUAAAGACAUAAAGGAGCUGGUAUCAAGCACACUAAUCAGUAGCUUACAACACCUUGCUUAGCCACACCCCCACGGGACACAGCAGUAAUCAAAAUUAAGCAAUAAACGAAAGUUUGACUAAGUUAUGCAGCAUAUCAAGGGUUGGUAAACCUCGUGCCAGCCACCGCGGUCAUACGAGUGACCCUAAUUAAUAAACCUCGGCGUAAAGAGUGUUAAAAUAAUACCAAAAUAAGAUUAAAAUAUGCCUAAGUCGUAAAAAGCAAAAGACAUUAGUAAAACCAUGAACGAAAGUAAUCUUAAUAAUUAUGAAUACACCAAAACUAAGACCCAAACUGGGAUUAGAUACCCCACUAUGCUUAGUCAUAAACAUAAAUAUUUAAUAACAAAAAUUUUCGCCCGAGAACUACUGGCAAUAGCUUAAAACUCAAAGGACUUGGCGGUGCUUUAAAUCCACCUAGAGGAGCCUGUUCUAUAAUCGAUAUACCCCGAUAAACCUCACCCCUUCUAGCUAAUUCAGCCUAUAUACCGCCAUCUUCAGCAAACCCUAUCAAGGAAUAAAAGUAAGCAUAAUUAUAAUCAUAAAAACGUUAGGUCAAGGUGUAGCCAAUGAAGAGGAAAGAAAUGGGCUACAUUUUCUUUAUUCAAAAGAACAUAUACAGUAAUCUCAUUGAAAACAAGAGAUUUUAAGGAGGAUUUAGUAGUAAAUUAAGAACAGAGAGCUUAAUUGAAUUAGGCCAUAAAGCACGCACACACCGCCCGUCACCCUCCUCAAAUAUAUACUCUAAUUUAUCCAAAAUUACUACACCAUGAGAGGAGACAAGUCGUAACAAGGUAAGCGUACUGGAAAGUGUGCUUGGAUAAC